rnacentral:lncRNA from 1 species
AAAAAGGACGUAGCGGGAAUUUGCAGAUUUGUUGUCCGAGCUCCGAUUAGGACGCAAAAUACCAUUUCGGAAAGGGAACGAUGCCACGAGUCAAACUCACUAUUUUAUUGUGACAUACGAUGGAUUUUGGCAUUCUGAGGUCGUUUGGCCUUCCAAAACUGCAUUCAAAGUUUCGUAGUUAAUUCUCCGAAUAAAUUCUGUUUUUCAGUUUUAAUGUAAUAACUCCCCUAGCAGUUCAAGGGUUGAGAGUUGUGUAUUUA